rnacentral:ncRNA from 8 species
CCGUAGGUGAACCUGCGGAAGGAUC